UGCUACCGAAGGCAGGGGAGGAAAUAGACGUCACUAUGUGAAGGCAACUGUCAGAGGGUCUGGAAUUAAAAUUUGCACCAUACUGGGCUGUCCAGGCUGACCACGCUAGAGACAAAAAGGUCCCGGGUGCUGAACUUCAGCCCUGGGGUUAAUUUCUUCCAGACAGCGAUGUAGGGAGGCGGUGGCUCUCUCUUUACACCUCGGGCCAGAAGGUUGGCGUGGUCACAUUAUCCAAGCCCUGUGCUCUGCUGUGCCUCGUGGCCUCCAUUUACCCUGCGCAGAGGGAGGAGACGGCUCAGGCCUACCGAGUCUGCUGUUCUAGCUGGCCUUUGGCUCAAGAUAAAAGACAAUAACCGAGGUGAAGGAGAGCGAAUGAGAGGGGAGUGGAACCCGUCAGUGCUGAGCUAACAGGAAAGAGCCAACCCUUCUCCUCCUGGCUCACAGAUUACAGGGGCUUCCCCUUUCACCUAUGGGCUAGUUGCCCAGAUCCCACUAAAUGCCAUUGGGACUUAGCUGCCUAACUCUCUCUGGUCCCUUUGAAAAUCCCAGCCUUGCUUUUUAUUGGGCCAGGCUGAUCCUCCCACUAAGUUUCACAUCUGCCUGUUUGAAGCUUUGUGAGAUCAAAUGCGUCUAUUCUAGCUGGAGACUCCCCUUUCAGAUACUGCUUUCAGUAGCAACUGAUGUGUAGCAGUGUAAAGGUUUCUCCUGCUCUCUUUCCUUCAUGCCUUACCCUCCCUUUAACCCCCACUUCACACACCUCCUACUUGCUUGAUGCCAUUCCAAAGACUUUCUUUACUUUGAGAGGCCGUGCAUCUUCUUGUCCUUCAAUGACACCAAGUUACUCUGGACAUAGCGGUUUAUGAACCAUCCCGUACCGUGGUGCUCAGUUAUUCUGUGAUUGAUCGGGGCAUUCUGAAACACGGAUGUCUUGUGAAACUGAAAGGAAUUGAAUCGGCAGACAUUUUGUAAGGUGUUUGUGAAUUUUCUACCAUCUUGGGUGACAUUUACAAACCAAAGACACCCCACCAAUCUGCCCUCACUGAACCUGAUGACAAAGUCUUAUGGGAGCAAGACCAAGCCCCAUCUGAGCAUGGUUGGUGUUAACACUAGAGCUUACCCCCAGACAAUGCAGGCUGCAUUUAGUCUCUCUCUUUCUCUCAUUGACCAUCUGGAGCCUGUCUGGAUUGGAUUUGAUUUGUUGUGCAUCAGUUCUUGGUUUGGUAGAAAACGUGGCAAUUAAAUGUUUGCUCACAUUAAGCUGGACUCCUGGAGUGAACCGAACGCAUUGCUAUCCUGGCAAAAUAAGCAUCAACCCCAUGGGGACCUAGUAGUGAGCCAGUAGAUUAUGUUAAUAAGAUAUACUGAGAUGGAGUUCAGGAAGUAAUCGAUUAAUUCUGAAGGAGACGCUGAGGGGACAUAAGCUCUUGUCACUGUGUUAAUUCACAGUAUUAGACAGACACUGCAAUUUAGUUAACACGGCAGCAGUGGGACCAUGGGAUCAUGACCAAUGCGUCCCAGGGAUGGGACAUUAAGGACUCA
rnacentral:lncRNA from 1 species